CUAACACGCACACGUAAACAUAUUUGUACCUACACACAGAUGUAAAUCAAUUUCGGUUUCUUGUCGAGAUUGUUGCUCUAUUCCGC